UGUUCCGAAGCUCAGUUGGUUAAAGCAUGGUGCUAAUAACACCAAGGUCAUGGGUUUGAUCCCUGUAUGGGCUAU